UAGGGAAUCUUCGGCAAUGGGGGCAACCCUGACCGAGCAACGCCGCGUGAGUGAAGAAGGUUUUCGGAUCGUAAAGCUCUGUUGUAAGAGAAGAACGUGUGUGAGAGUGGAAAGUUCACACAGUGACGGUAACUUACCAGAAAGGGACGGCUAACUACGUGCCAGCAGCCGCGGUAAUACGUAGGUCCCGAGCGUUGUCCGGAUUUAUUGUGCUUAAAGCUAGCGCAGGCGGUUUAAUAAGUCUGAGGUUAAAGGCAGUGUGUUAAACAUUGUUCGCUUUGGAAACUGUUAAACAUGAGUGCGGAAGGGGAGAGUGGAAGUCCAUGUGUAGCGGGGAGAUGCGUAGAUAUAUGGAGGAACACCGGUGGCGAAAGCGGCUCUCUGGUCUGUAACUGACGCUGAGGCUCGAAAGAGUGGGGGGCAAACAGA
rnacentral:rRNA from 1 species